CAUUCAAGUUUCAGAAAACACUUUAAAAUGCAAUAAUUUAAAAUAUUUGUGAAACUUAUCGUUUUGCGCUAAAAUACAACAAUAUAUGGGGUAAAUUCGUCGUCAUUGUUUCUGUUUUGAAUACCAUAUUCGUGCCUGCCGGUAGAAAAAAUAGAGCGACAUACGGACAAGUAAGGUGAUUAAUUUGUAUGAUG